GGGAGCCUCGUCCGCGAUUUUGAGGCCCCGCUCCCAAGUUUCCACGGAUUUUUCCAAGAAAUCUGGCCACACUGCAGGCAACAGCCCAGACAACUGUCCGCAGCCAACUAAUGCGCCGCCCGCGUGAACUCCCCUCCAGCUCCCAACAACCCCGCAACGAGCAUGCGCAGUCACUGACGACAACAAACCCGCAGGCCGCGCCCCGCCCCCGUUUGCUCUUCACCCCCGGCUCCCAUUGGGUAGCGCCGCGUUCUGCAUGACGGCGCAGCUGACCAAUGGAAACUGGGUAGGCUUGACCGAGGGCGGGGUGGCAAGGCACACCGGCUCGCGUCCAUUGGCCGGCGGGGCGAGAGGAGGAGCCGCUGGCUCUAGCCGUCGCUAUGUUCCUGGGUCGCCUGAGCCGCCUGCUGAAGCCUGCGCUUCUGUGUGGAGCUUUGACUGCCCCUGGCUUAGCUGGUACCAUGCUACUCCAGAAGCUGAGGCAGGAGGAUCUCAAGUUCGAGCCAGCGCGGGCAGUGCGCUUCUCGGGAUGACUGGCGCAGCGCACACUCCAUGCACGAGUUCUCCGCCAAGGACAUUGACGGGCACAUGGUCAGCCUGGACAAAUACAAGGGCUUCGUGUGCAUUGUCACCAAUGUGGCCUCACAAUGAGGCAAAACCGAAGUGA
rnacentral:lncRNA from 1 species